GGUGCAGCCCUAAAAAGACAAAAACCAACCCCCCCAAAGUCCCCUUGAUUUAAAAAAGAAGUUUUAGGCUCAUACAAAAAGACUUCAGGCUUUCUUUCAGGACAAGGCCUGUGAUUCAUCUGUUCCCUCAGCACCUAGCAUGGCAUGUGGCUCAUAGCUGGUAUUCAACUACAUGCUUGUUGAGUGGUAAGUGAGGCAAGACACACUGGAAAUGAUGUAAAAUAUGGAGUUCCACGGCAGCCUAGCAGGUUAAGGAUCCAGUGUUGUCAUGGCUGUGGCUUGGGUCACUGCCGUGGCAUCCCUGGCCUGGGAACAUUUCACGGGCUGCAGCCAGAAAACCAAACAAAACAAUACAAACAGCAAAGAGAUGUAUCUGUGCUGCAUAACAUGAAUUGAGGACUGGUUUAUGGGCAUUCAAGAGUAGUUCUUUUUCACGGCCCUCCCCAGGGGGGUUUUCAAAUUUGCUUCAGAAUCCUCCGCCCAAGUAGCCUCUCGCUGGCAGCAGUACCACUUUUGUCCAGAAGAUGGCAGGCGAGGCCAGCAGGAGAGCAUCACGCGGCCGCUGGAGGAGCCAGGCCUGCGCAGGUGGUGCUCCUUUUCAAAAAAGAUGCGGGGCACCUGAAGCCUAUUUGCCAACCCUAAAAAUGCGCAUGGGCGAGACGCCCUGGUUUUCAAGGUGGGUUCUCUGGCUGAUCCCUGUGAAAAGGAGUGUUUCAGGGGGAAAUGUGGCAGGGGGUGGUCAAAGGGCUGCUCCUCCAAAGCCCCCCUUUGAGUAGCCUGCACUGUGGAAACUGAACUUCCUAUUAAGCAGACACAGCCCUCAAACUCUACGUGACUCAGGACCACAGCCCUUCUGCCUCUUGAAGCUCAUGUGCUUUGGAAAUCGCUCUCAGCUCUGUGGCCACCUCCCCAGCUGACUGGAAGCUUCUGUGGGGUCACAUCCACCUUCACUUGGGCCUGCACCCUUCUAACAGGGACCGAUCCUGGGCUCAGAGCGGUGACCCCACAGCACCAGGUUGGGCACAGACUUGGAUGGCCCAAGGUGGAGAGAAGGCAUCAGGUGCUGAGCCUCCUUGAAGGCGAGACUCCAGCGGGCUGCCCCUCCGGGCAGCGCGACCUCUGUGUCCGUCCUCAGCUCCUGCCUGCACGCCGGUAGGUCAGCAUCAGGCAUGAUAGUAACACAAAGAAGACAGUAAAAGGCCCAGGGCUGGGGGCUCCUUAGGUCCAAGGGCCCUGGGUGUCACCUGGCCCCCGGAGGGUUCCUUCUAAGGCCCCGUGGACACUUAGUGUUCCAGCCCCUGCUGCAGUCCUUUUGGGGAAAGGAGGGCCGGCCCCUCUCAAGGCAGCUGCCUUUCCCGAGCAAGGUCAGCCUUUGCUAAGCUGAGACCCUCGGCUGUGUGAUGUCUGUCCCCUGCCCCACCUCCCCCUCACAGCAGGUCCUGGUGGGGGCUCUGGAUUGGGACAGCACGCACCUGACACCUUGUGA